GUAUCAAAAAAUAUUAGUAGGUGAUUAUGAGGUUGACAGCCUUGAGAGGUUGGUAUUACCAUCUUCUAUUGAGAGGGAAAGGAGGAAGAGUAAUUUUGAACAUUAUAAGGAUACCACACUCUCAGCCUUGUUUCUGGAGCUAAUGGUUAGAGUUUUUGAGUAAGUUACGUAGGAUGAUAAAGAUAAUUGAAGAACCACUCCAGGUCAAUGAAGUCUGGUUUAUAUGAUGCCCUCCCUACUACUAUAGGAAGGUUUGGCUCCUGAAGAUUUGAAGCUUUUGCUCUGUGGGUGUCAGCAGGUUGAACUUGACGUACUCAAAAAGAUAACAAAUUUCACCGACGAGACUCAUAAGUAGAGGUAUUCAGAAGAUAUUGAAGGUGUGGCCACAGACCAUUGUCCCGCCCCCUCAGAUUCACUACUUGAUGUUAGCACCUAUCCCAGUACAGAUUGGACUCAAUAGGUCAAUGGAAAUGAAAGAGAGGGACAGAGUGGAGACAUGAAAUUCAUUCUAUCAAAGGAUAUGGUAUCUUGUGAGGCCAGUCAUUCCCUGGCAGUGUGUGUCUUACUGGGUGUCUGGUCUAUGACUAUUGAGCUAUUGGGACGGGUCUGUCCUGAGUCAGUUGGUAAACUCAAGCACUCAAUAUUCAACCAGUUGCAAGGUAAAAAUAUUUGUCAGAAUCAGCUCAAACUUUC